CCACCCACCACAUCCCAUCGACCCCACACUGUGCCCCAUUGACCCCACCCUUAACCCCAUAUCCCCCCCUGCCCCCAUAACCCCAACUGUCCCCCCCUUCCUCCCCCAUCCGGCCCCACAGACCCCAUUGCUGCCCCCCCUUUGGUUCUCACUCACCUGAGCACCCCCUAUAGGUGGGGGUCCGACCCCAUAAGCGCCCCCCGGGAUCCCAUAGGACACAGUGGGGGCCGGGGGGGGGCCGGGCCAGGAGAGAGCGGCAGAUGGGGACGGGAUGGGGGCGCCUGUGGGGAGAGGGGGUGGGGGAUAUGGGAUAUAGGAUAGGGGAUAUAGGAUAUGGGAUAUGGGGUGUGGGAUAUGGGAUGUGGGAUAUGGGAUGUGGGGGUGGGAUGUGGGAGGUGGGAUAUGGGGGUGUGGGGUUGGGGUGGGGGAUAUGGGGUGUGGGGUGGGGGAUAUGGGGUGUGGGAUAUGGGAGGUGGGAUACAGGAUAUAGGAUAUGGGAUAUAGGAUAUGGGGGUGGGAUGUGGGAGGAGGGGUAUAGGAUAUGGGAUGUGGGAUAUGGGGGGUGGGGUUGGGGUGGGGGAUAUGGGGUGUGGGAUAUGGGGUGUGGGGUUGGGGUGGGGGAUAUGGGGUGUGGGGUGGGGGAUAUGGGAUAUAGGAUAUGGGAUAUGGGGGGGGGACGUGGGAUGUAGCAUGUAGGAUAUAGGAUAUGAGGGUGGGAGGUGGGAUAUGGGAUAUAGGAUAUGGGAUGUGGGAUAUGGGGGGUGGGGUUGGGGUGGGGGAUAUGGGGGUGGGAUAUGGGAUAUGGAGUGUGGGAUAUGGGGUCUAUAGAAUGUAAGAGCUAUAGGAUAUAGGAUCCAUAGGAUAUAGGUCCAUAAGAUAUAGGGGCUAUAGGAUAUAGGGUCCAUAGGAUAUAGGGCUAUAGGAUAUAGGGGCUAUGGGGGCUAUAGGGACCAUAGGGUCUCUAGAGGAUAUAGGGGCUAUAGGACAUGGGCUAUAGGAUAUAGGGUCCAUAGGAUAUAGGGGCUAUAGGAUAUAGGAGCUAUAGGGUCUAUAGGAAAUAGGGUCUGUAGAAAAUAAGGUCUAUAGGAUAUAGGGGCCAUAGGAUAUAGGGUCUAUAGGGUCCAUAGAAUAUAGGGUCUAUAGCAUAUAGGGUCCAUAGGAUAUAGGGGCUAUAGGGUCUAUAGGAAAUAGGGUCUGUAGGAAAUAAGGUCUAUAGGAUAUAGGGGCUAUAGAAUAUAGGAUCUAUAGGAUAUAGGGGCUAUAGGAUAUAGGGGUAUAGGAUAUAGGGGCCAUCGGAUAUAAGGGCUAUAGGGUCGAUAGGAAAUCGGGUCUAUAGGAUGUAUAGGGGCUAUAGGAUAUAGGCUGUAUAGGAUAUAGGGGCUAUAGGAUAUAGGGGCUACAGGAUAUAGGGGUAUAGGAUAUAGGGGCUAUAGGAUAUAGGGUCCAUAGGAUAUAGGGUCCAUAGGAUAUAGGGGCUAUAGGGUGUUUGGGGUCUAUAGGGCGCAUGGGGUCUCUGGGUGUGCCCACUCACCGCCGCUGUCCCCGUGGCUCCGCCCCCGCGCCCCCCGCCCGCCCCGCAUCCCCUCCAGGAGUUCCUUCACCGUGCGGGGGGGGGGCGGCGGCGCGCGCCCACCUGCGUGGGGAUGGGGGGGGGGGGGGGGGGGGGG
ensembl:lncRNA